rnacentral:tRNA from 1 species
GGGAAUUAGCUCAGUUGGCUUAGAGCAUCGGCUUUGCAAGCCGAGGGUCAGGGGUUCGAGCCCCCUAUUCUCC